rnacentral:sRNA from 20 species
GUCAACCACUCCCCCCAAGCCCUGGCGGGUUAUAGGCGGAGCUUGUGAGGAAACUUGCAGGUUCCUGGUUGACCAGGCUCAGUCCCGGAAUCCGGGGCUACGUUGGUGAGGUCAGGACACCCUGGAAUGCGUGUGCCAGUUCCAGGCUCUGUC